UACGUAGGGUGCGAGCGUUGUCCGGAAUUAUUGGGCGUAAAGAGCUCGUAGGCGGUGUGUUACGUCGGCCGUGAAAACCUGCAGCUUAACUGUGGGCGUGCGGUCGAUACGGGCAUCACUGGAGUUCGGCAGGGGAGACUGGAAUUCCUGGUGUAGCGGUGAAAUGCGCAGAUAUCAGGAGGAACACCGGUGGCGAAGGCGGUGCUCUGGGCCGAUACUGACGCUGAGGAGCGAAAGCGUGGGGAGCAAACAGG
rnacentral:rRNA from 1 species